rnacentral:rRNA from 1 species
AUUGAACGCUGGCGGAAUGCUUUACACAUGCAAGUCGAACGGUAGAGGGGGCAACCCCUCGAGAGUGGCGAACGGGUGAGUAAUAUAUCGGAACGUGCCCAGUCGUGGGGGAUAACGUAGCGAAAGUUACGCUAAUACCGCAUACGAUCUAAGGAUGAAAGCGGGGGAUCGCAAGACCUCGCGCGAUUGGAGCGGCCGAUAUCAGAUUAGGUAGUUGGUGGGGUAAAGGCUCACCAAGCCAACGAUCUGUAGCUGGUCUGAGAGGACGACCAGCCACACGGGAACUGAGACACGGUCCAGACUCCUACGGGAGGCAGCAGUGGGGAAUUUUGGACAAUGGACGCAAGUCUGAUCCAGCCAUUCCGCGUGCAGGAUGAAGGCCCUCGGGUUGUAAACUGCUUUUGUACGGAACAAAAGGUCUCUCUUAAUACGGGGGACUCAUGACGGUACCGUAAGAAUAAGCACCGGCUAACUACGUGCCAGCAGCCGCCGUAAGAC